rnacentral:RNase_P_RNA from 1 species
CAGGCUGGUCGGGUGAUCGCGGCCCAGAAUUUUAUUCCGGGUCGAGGAAAGUCCGCACUUCAUAGGGCACGGUGCCGAGGAAAUCUCGGGAUGGAGAAAUCUGUCGGUUCGGGCCACAGAAACAGGUAGCCUUCAUACUGCCCUCUCCCUAAGGGAGAGGGCUAGGGUGAGGGUCAUAGUGAAAAGGUGGUGUAAGAGACCACCGGCGUUCGCAGUAAUGUGGGCGGCCAGGUAACCCCCGCCGGAAGCAAGGCCAAGCAGAGACGGUGAGCGGCCCGUUCUUUACGUCUCGGGUAGGCUGCACAGAUAGAUGAUCGCCUAAGGGAUGCAAAUCUCUGGACAAAAUGCGGCUUAUAGACCAGCCUGAGGU